CAAAAUGUAGCUUAAUCAAAGCAUUUCACUUACACUGAAAACAUGUCCGUUAAACCCGAACCAUUUUGA
rnacentral:tRNA from 1 species